rnacentral:rRNA from 1 species
AUUGAACGCUGGCGGCAUGCUUUACACACGCAAGUCGAACGGCAGCGCGGGCUUCGGCCUGGCGGCGAGUGGCGAACGGGUGAGUAAUACAUCGGAACGUGCCCAGUAGUGGGGGAUAGCUCGGCGAAAGCCGGAUUAAUACCGCAUACGACCUGAGGGUGAAAGCGGGGGAUCUUCGGACCUCGCGCUAUUGGAGCGGCCGAUGGCAGAUUAGCUAGUUGGUGGGGUAAAGGCCUACCAAGGCGACGAUCUGUAGCUGGUCUGAGAGGACGACCAGCCACACUGGGACUGAGACACGGCCCAGACUCCUACGGGAGGCAGCAGUGGGGAAUUUUGGACAAUGGGCGAAAGCCUGAUCCAGCAAUGCCGCGUGUGUAAUGAAGGCCUUCGGGUUGUAAAGCACUUUUGGCGGGAACGAAAAGGACUGUGCCAAUACCACGGUUCGAUGACGGUACCCGCAGAAUAAGCACCGGCUAACUACGUG